UUGGGACUGAGACACGGCCCAAACUCCUACGGGAGGCAGCAGUAGGGAAUCUUCCACAAUGGACGAAAGUCUGAUGGAGCAAUGCCGCGUGAGUGAAGAAGGGUUUCGGCUCGUAAAACUCUGUUGUUAAAGAAGAACACCUUUGAGAGUAACUGUUCAAGGGUUGACGGUAUUUAACCAGAAAGCCACGGCUAACUACGUGCCAGCAGCCGCGGUAAUACGUAGGUGGCAAGCGUUGUCCGGAUUUAUUGGGGCGUAAAGCGAGCGCAGGCGGUUUUUUAAGUCUGAUGUGAAAAGCCUUCGGCUUAACCGGAGAAGUGCAUCGGAAACUGGGAGACUUGAGUGCAGAAGAGGACAGUGGAACUCCAUGUGUAGCGGUGGAAUGCGUAGAUAUAUGGAAGAACACCAGUGGCGAAGGCGGCUGUCUAGUCUGUAACUGACGCUGAGGCUCGAAAGCAUGGGUAGCGAACAGGAUUAGAUACCCUGGUAGUCCAUGCCGUAACGAUGAGUGCUAAGUGUUGGAGGGUUUCCGCCCUUCAGUGCUGCAGCU
rnacentral:rRNA from 1 species